rnacentral:rRNA from 1 species
GUGAGGAAUUUUCCGCAAUGGGCGAAAGCCUGACGGAGCAAUGCCGCGUGAAGGAUGAAGGCCUAUGGGUUGUAAACUUCUUUUCUCAGAAAAGAAUUAUGACGGUAUCUGAGGAAUAAGCAUCGGCUAACUCUGUGCCAGCAGCCGCGGUAAGACAGAGGAUGCAAGCGUUAUCCGGAAUGAUUGGGCGUAAAGCGUCUGUAGGUUGUUUAAAAAGUAUUCUGUCAUAUAUUAGGGCUUAACCCUAGAUAGGCAGAAUAAACUUUUAAGCUAGAGUUUGGUAGAGGCAGAGGGAAUUCCCGGUGGAGCGGUGAAAUGCGUAGAUAUCGGUAGGAACACCAAAGGCGAAGGCACUCUGCUGGGCCAAUACUAACACUGAGAGACGAAAGCGAGGGGAGCAAAUGGGAUUAGAUACCCGGGUAGUCC